rnacentral:rRNA from 1 species
UGGGGAAUAUUGMACAAUGGGCGAAAGCCUGAUCCAGCCAUGCCGCGUGURUGAUGAAGGUCUUCGGAUUGUAAAGCACUUUAAGUUGGGAGGAAGGGCAGURAGUUAAUACCUUGCUGUUAUGACGUUACCGAUAGAAUAAGCACCGGCUAACUUCGUG